GGAAGGGUGGCAGAGCGGUCUAAUGCACCGGUCUUGAAAACCGGCGGCCGGCAACGGCCCGCGAGUUCGAAUCUCGCCCCUUCCG
rfam:Betaproteobacteria bacterium RIFCSPLOWO2_12_FTLL_67_28 rifcsplowo2_12_scaffold_16141, whole genome shotgun sequence.